UACGUAGGCAGCAAGCGUUGUUCGGAAUUACUGGGCGUAAAGAGUGUGUAGGCGGUGCUCCAAGUCUGGUGUGAAAUCUCCCGGCUUAACUGGGAGGGUGCAUUAGAAACUGGAAUGCUAGAGGAUGGGAGAGGUAAGCGGAAUUCCUGGUGUAGCGGUGAAAUGCGUAGAUAUCGGGAGGAACACCAGUGGCGAAGGCGACUACCUGGCCUGUUCUUGACGCUGAGGCGCGAAAGCUAGGGGAGCAAACGGG
rnacentral:rRNA from 1 species